ACCUGGUUGAUUCUGCCAGUAGUCAUAUGCUUGUCUCAAAGAUUAAGCCAUGCAUGUCUAAGUAUAAGCAAUUAUACCGCGAAACUGCGAAUGGCUCAUUAAAUCAGUUAUCGUUUAUUUGAUAGUACCUUACUACAUGGAUAACCGUGGUAAUUCUAGAGCUAAUACAUGCUAAAAAUCCCGACUUCGGAAGGGAUGUAUUUAUUAGAUUAAAAACCAAUGCCCUCCGGGGCUCACUGGUGAUUCAUGAUAACUUCUCGAAUCGCACGGCCUUGCGCCGGCGAUGGUUCAUUCAAAUUUCUGCCCUAUCAACUUUCGACGGCUGGGUCUUGGCCAGCCGUGGUGACAACGGGUAACGGAGGGUUAGGGCUCGACCCCGGAGAAGGAGCCUGAGAAACGGCUACUACAUCCAAGGAAGGCAGCAGGCGCGCAAAUUACCCAAUCCCGACACGGGGAGGUAGUGACAAUAAAUACUGAUACAGGGCUCUUUCGGGUCUUGUAAUUGGAAUGAGUACAAUUUAAAUCCCUUAACGAGGAACAAUUGGAGGGCAAGUCUGGUGCCAGCAGCCGCGGUAAUUCCAGCUCCAAUAGCGUAUAUUAAAGUUGUUGAGGUUAAAAAGCUCGUAGUUGAACCUUGGGCCUAGCCGGCCGGUCCGCCUCACCGCGUGCACUGGCUCGGCUGGGCCUUUCCUUCUGGAGAACCGCAUGCCCUUCACUGGGUGUGCCGGGGAACCAGGACUUUUACUCUGAACAAAUUAGAUCGCUUAAAGAAGGCCUAUGCUCGAAUACAUUAGCAUGGAAUAAUAGAAUAGGACGUGUGGUUCUAUUUUGUUGGUUUCUAGGACCGCCGUAAUGAUUAAUAGGGACAGUCGGGGGCAUCAGUAUUCAAUUGUCAGAGGUGAAAUUCUUGGAUUUAUUGAAGACUAACUACUGCGAAAGCAUUUGCCAAGGAUGUUUUCAUUAAUCAGGAACGAAAGUUAGGGGAUCGAAGACGAUCAGAUACCGUCGUAGUCUUAACCAUAAACUAUGCCGAUUAGGGAUCGGGCGGUGUUAUUUUUUGACCCGCUCGGCACCUUACGAUAAAUCAAAAUGUUUGGGCUCCUGGGUGAGUAUGGUCGCAAGGCUGAAACUUA
rnacentral:rRNA from 1 species